rnacentral:rRNA from 1 species
GAUUAACGCUAGCGGCAGGCAUAAUACUUGCAAGUUGAACGGCAGCACAGGUAGCAAUACUGGGUGGCGAGUGGCGCACGGGUGCGUAACACGUAUGCAACCUACCCUAUACAGGCGAAUAACCUUUAGAAAUGAGGGCUAAUACGCCGUAGUAUUACAGAUGGGCAUCUAUUUGUAAUUAAAGAUUUAUCGGUAUAGGAUGGGCAUGCGUCCCAUUAGUUAGUUGGUAAGGUAACGGCUUACCAAGACGAUGAUGGGUAGGGGAUCUGAGAGGACUUACCCCCACACUGGUACUGAGACACGGACCAGACUCCUACGGGAGGCAGCAGUAAGGAAUAUUGGGCAAUGGCCGCGAGGCUGACCCAGCCAUGCCGCGUGCAGGAAGACGGCCUUAUGGGUUGUAAACUGCUUUUAUACGGGAAUAAUAGAGUGUACGCGUACAUUUAUGCAAGUAUCGUAUGAAUAAGCAUCGGCUAACUCCGUG